UCCAUCAUAGAAGGCUUCUUUUUUGUUAUCAUCUGCAUCUUCAGUAGGGGUAUGGACAUUGAUGAAUAAUAUGUUGAAGAAUUUUCCUCUCAAACGUAGUGAGCAGAGUCUAUCACUUACAGGUUUAAGUCCAAUGACAUUACCUGCCAUUUUCUUUUUACAGCAAAACCUGUACCUAAGUUAAUGCUUCCACCACUAUAAAAUAUAGUAUACUCCUUAGUUCUGAGAAUGUUUUUCCACCUGGUUUCCUGUAUGGCUACAAGAGGUAUCCUUUAUUUCUUUAACACUUCAGUAAGUUGGGCUAGCGCACCUGCUCUAUAAAGGCUUUGCACGUUCCAUGUUGCAAAACAAAAAUCAUGUCUUUUCCAGGCCAAGGCUGUUUUCCUUUGAGAUCUGUCCAGGUUUUCUUGUGAGUAGAAGCUUUCAGGACAGUAUUUGUUUUUUAUAUGACAAAGUAGUUAGCCCUGCGCACAACCUUCUGGGGGACUGCCCCUUUCAUCUCUCUGGAUAGCUGCCUUUAUUUUCGGAAUAGAGAUGUAAUUCUGCUGUGUCCCCGUGAGUUGGAAACCAGUAAGCAAGUCUUCUAAUAGAGGUCUGAUAGAGUCAUGUACAUCAAGCGAUCAGCACUAAAAGAUGUGGACCUGAUGUGGUGUCAAGCUGAUGAAGCUUUUGCUUUCUUCUUUUGGCUGUUCGUUUAACACAAGACAAAGCACAGACUGAUCGUCAUACCAUUUUAAGAUCCUGGGAUGUGAAAGACUUUGCACCGGACUGUCGUCAGUAUCUUUACCUCUUCCAUGCCGGCAAUAAAAUACAUCUGAAACUUGUUGAUCAUAUUGUGCGUAAAGAUGGGUUAGGUUAGAUGAGUUCAGCUUUGCCUUGUUAGCCAACAACUGUCUGUAUCCUGGACUGUCCACACUUGUAUUAUUGCUGGUACACUUUCAGCAGUGAGCCAUGGCAGCAGACGUAUAGAAGGCAUGCUGGGAAUGAAAUUCAUCACAUACAGCUGCAAAAAAGUGUUUUCAUUGGUAAUUAUGUGGGCUACACAAGCCUCAGCUGAUGCUCACCAAAGCUCUUGGAAAUCCUAUGCCGAACUGGGAGUCGAACACUUAGUGAGGUUGUGACUGAACGUCGCAUGAGGUUUGCGGGACAUGUUCUACGUCAAAAUGAAUUACGCACACCAAGAGUUGCGAUAACAUGGAAGCCAAAACAAGGAAAGCGCAAACAGAGACGUCCUCGUAUUACCUGGCGACACACCUUCAUGGAGGACCUCAGAACAGUGGACACCAGGUGGGAGGAGGCUUCAGACAUUACCAGUGACAGAUCAUUAUGGAGACAGCUUGCCACCCAAUGCACCGAACGGCGCCGGAGGACCUAUGUCUAAGACUGUGUCUCAGCGAAGCAUAAGAGUUGGUCUUGGAUUCAAACAGUCAAUGAAUGUUUAGGCAUUCAUAGUGAAAAUACUGCUAACUAUCAUCAGUUCUACCAUGAUGUUUGCCACCUGGAAGAAGACAUGCUUUCAUUCUUGCUUUUGGAUGGACAGUUCAACAGUUAGAGCUCAAGUCAAGACUCAAGAUCCUGAUGUCAUGUUAAAACAUUUCAGAUUAAUAAACAAUUGUUGGACUAUCAGGGCUAGUUAGAUCUUCUCACAGAGCGAAGUUGAGAUAUUCACCCAGUUCAUCACCGCCAAGAACUGCCAGAAUGGCAUUUGAAGGCUAGAGCUCUUGUCCAAUAUCAGCACAAACAUGUGUCAUUAGCAAAAGGGGACUUUGUCAAGAUUUUGGAAAAUUUUGAUGCUGAAAGAUGGAAGAUGGAAUAGAAAGUGAAGUCCCUGCUAUUGUGUUGGUCAUUCCUUCCUGCUUCCAACAGAUUGAUAAAUUAAGAGAACAAAUCAAGGUCAAUAGUUCUAUUGCUGCUAAAAGAUUAAGGUCACAUUUGAUCCAGUUUUUAAGUGCUGCUAUUUCCCAGACACAGUCCAAAGAUUUAUGUUUUUCCUGCUGAAGAUGAUGAAUGAGGCAGCAGACAUCUUGAAAGGAGCUGAUUUCAAGUUCCUUCAACAGUCUUUUCAUUUUAUUUAGGAAGAAGCUCAUCAGUCACUUCAAACCAGGUGAUGAUGGAGUCAUAAACAGUAGGAUACAGAGGUGAAACAAAACUGGAGCUUUAGUUUGUUUGUAGAACUUGGCAUCUACUCCAGACAUUAUUCUGAAGAACACUCAAGUAAAAGAAAAGAAGAAAUGUUAAAGGUUAAGGACUUGGGCUCCUAUCAUACUUACACUUCAAAAGCUUUAAUUUGAAAGGUCUUAUAUUUUUGUAGAAAUAAAUUUUACUAGUGGAGUUUUUGUAGCUGCCAGAGUGGAUCAAGGUGGAUGUGAUAUCUAUUUAUAAACAUGUAUACCAGUAUAUUGUAAUCAGUGAUUUUCAUUUUUUGGUAACAGUUUGUUUCCAUUUAGAUUGCAGUCUUUCUUAUGUGAAAACAAGAUGUCUGCAUAAUCUUAGAGGACAUUUUUAAACUCAUUUAAAUUUAUUAGAUGAAAUAUUUAUAAAACAUACAAUGUAAAUUGUUUUGUAAAAUGAUUAUACAUUUGAGUUCAUAAAAAUGUGUAAUUUUUUAAUGGCAUCAUGUUUCUGCUUAUCUGUAUCUGAUACUGAUGAUGUGUUUUCUAAAUCUAUUACUGCUUCACCAUUGAGGAAAAACUGCACAUGUUUAAACCCAUAUCUGAAGUAACUUUCCAGAAAAAAAAAAGAUGUAUGUUGGACAGUGUCCAAAAUUUCAAAUCAUUUCCUUCAAAAUGUUAUCCAUUUCCUCCAUAACUUCAUAACAUUAUUGAAUUUUUUCCUUCAGAACACAAUUGUAAAUUAUCUUUUUUUUUUUUUUUUUUUUUGUUAAACCACAAUGAGAGUCUAAUAACUAAUAGUCUAGCAAACAAUUACUUAUAAUUUGCCUUAUUAUUAUACAAUAUUAAGAUUUACUUCUGCAGGGAUGAAAAACUUUUUUUAAAAUACAAUAGACAUGUAUAAUAAUAAAGUACAUUCACACCUGACUCACUCAUAAUUUACAUGUGAAAAGUUUAUAUCAGAUUGUUUCUAUUUAAUGAUUUGAUUGCCAUCAGUGUCUUGUAUCUCUUUUGUGAUGGUAAAGUCACAAAAUGUAGGAAACCCCACUGUGUUUGGUCCAGUAUGUGGGUUAUUAUAUGUAAGUCUAUUGUAUUUUCUAUAUUAUUUUACAAAUGUAAAAAAAAUAAAAAGAAAUUGUUACACUGUU